CCUCAGGUUUUUGGAGGAAGGUUCGUCCGCUCCAAGUUAGUCGGGAGCUAAGGUGAGGCCGGAAGGCGUAGCCGAUGCACAGACGGUAGAGAUUCCGUCACCACCAAAAGAGUUAAGCACAGGGACACAUUUGAAGUCUCAGAGCCGGGUGUUGGUUCCGGUAGAGAUCGAGGGAAAUUAGUACCGAAGUCUGGGAUGGAAGAUGGCGAGAAAAGCUGUGUGUAUUUCUGAGGUGCCCGUACCGCAAACCGACACAGGUAGGUAGGAAGAAGAUUCUAAGGCCAACGGGAGAAGGGUUGUUAAGGAACUCGGCAAAUUGACCCCGUAACUUCGGGAGAAGGGGUGCUCCAGAGAUGGAGCCGCAGAGAAUCGGCCCAAGCAACUGUUUACCAAAAACACAGGUUUGUGCUAAAUCGAAAGAUGACGUAUACGAGCUGACGCCUGCCCGGUGCUGGAAGGUUAAGAGGAGAUGUGCAAGCAUUGAAUCGAAGCCCCAGUGAACGGCGGCCGUAACUAUAACGGUCCUAAGGUAGCGAAAUUCCUUGUCAGGUAAGUUCUGACCCGCACGAAAGGCGUAAUGAUUUGGGCACUGUCUCAACAGCCCGCCCGGCGAAAUUGUAGUACCGGUGAAGAUGCCGGUUACCCGCGACAAGACGGAAAGACCCCAUGGAGCUUUACUGUAGCCUAAUAUUGGGUUUCGAUGUUGCAUGCACAGGAUAGAUGGGACACAGGGAAACAAUCGCUUUGGCGUUUGCGGAGUGGCCGUUGGGAUACCAUCCUUGCGAUAUUGGAAUUCUAACCUGCGGCUCUGAAUCGAGUCGGGGGACAUUGUUAGGUGGGCAGUUUGACUGGGGCGGUCGCCUCCUAAAAAGUAACGGAGGCGUUCAAAGGUUCGCUCAGCUUGAACGGAAAUCAAGCAAAAGAGUGCAAACGCAGAAGCGAGCCUAACUGCGAGACUGACGGGUCGAGCAGUAACGAAAGUUGGAGUUAGUGAUCCGGUGGUAUGUGAGUGGAAAUGCCAUCGCUCAACGGAUAAAAGUUACCCUGGGGAUAACAGGCUGAUCUCCCCCAAGAGUCCACAUCGACGGGGAGGUUUGGCACCUCGAUGUCGGCUCAUCGCAUCCUGGGGCUGAAGUAGGUCCCAAGGGUUGGGCUGUUCGCCCAUUAAAGCGGUACGCGAGCUGGGUUCAGAACGUCGUGAGACAGUUCGGUCCCUAUCUGUCGUGGGCGCAGGAUAUUUGAUGGGAGCUGUCCCUAGUACGAGAGGACCGGGACGGACGUACCUCUGGCGCACCAGUUGUUCCGCCAGGAGCAUAGCUGGGCAACUACGUACGGAUCGGAUAAACGCUGAAAGCAUCUAAGCGUGAAGCCGACCCAAAGAUAAGAUAUCCCAUUGUUUUAAACAAGUAAGACCCCUUGAAGACUACAAGGUUGAUAGGCACGAUGUGUAAGUGGAGCGAUCCAUUCAGCAAGCGUGUACUAAUAGGUCGAGGGCUUGACCAC
rnacentral:rRNA from 1 species